rnacentral:rRNA from 1 species
CCUACGGGUGGCAGCAGUGGGGAAUAUUGGGCAAUGGUCGCAAGCCUGACCCAGCAACGCCGCGUGAAGGAAGAAGGCUUUCGGGUUGUAAACUUCUUUUCUCAGGGACGAAGCAAGUGACGGUACCUGAGGAAUAAGCCACGGCUAACUACGUGCCAGCAGCCGCGGUAAUACGUAGGUGGCAAGCGUUAUCCGGAUUUACUGGGUGUAAAGGGCGUGUAGGCGGGAAAGCAAGUCAGAUGUGAAAACCAUGGGCUCAACCUGUGGCCUGCAUUUGAAACUGUUUUUCUUGAGUACUGGGGAGGCAGACGGAAUUCCUAGUGUAGCGGUGAAAUGCGUAGAUAUUAGGAGGAACACCAGUGGCGAAGGCGGUCUGCUGGACAGCAACUGACGCUGAGGCGCGAAAGCGUGGGGAGCAAACAGGAUUAGAUACCCCUGUAGUC